CGAAAAUCACGUCUCGCUGCGUUACGCUGUUGCCAGUCCUUGGAAACCAUGCUGAAUAUAUGCAACGUUAAUUCGUUUUCUUGUCAUAAGGUGUGGUUUCUGGACCCCCAUCAGGGUCCAGUUCCAGAUGUCUCAUGCCUGCAGUAUCUGGGUUAAUGGCUAUGUAUAUAUUUAUUCAUCUCCAUCUUUGCCUGGUAAAUAUUCCCGCUUGGCAGCUGUGGAGAGGAUUGCGAGUCCAAUGAACUUCACUGCUUAAUGACCAACUUGGUUCCUUCACACUACAGUUGCCAGCUGAGGGUCAAGCCCCUCGACCAGACAGGCAGGCUGUGCUGCCAGACGGCUGUGCAAACACCCUCCGGGGUCUGACCCUCCCCAACGACCUCACAGUCCUUGAUGCACCUUACUCCUGCCUGUUUGAAGGGAUAAGCUCAUUCCAGAAACUGACUACCAAGACUAUUGGUUCUGUAGUGUAGCGGGUAGC